AGUGGCAAGUCUAACAGUACUCUAGAGAGUCCUGAAUGGAGGAGUGGAAGGAGACCAGAGCGCUCCUAUCUGCUUAGAGCAGAAGUGAAGAGGGAUGUGCUAUGAUUUGCAUCAGGAGAAAGAUUCAUGGUGAGGGACAAAGACAAAGACACAGAAAGAGUUUAAUAUGCUUUUGCAGUUAGUGAGUUGAGGAACACGUCAGGACACUAGGUUAAAUUAGGGCCUUUGGUGAGGGAAAAGAAGAUAAAAGUUAUAGGCAUAAUCAAUGUGGUUUACUGAUAAAUAUUUUCUCAAGGCGUGCCCUUCAACUAAUUAGAUGUGUGGGUGAGGAAGAGUGAGAAGUCAGGGAUGAGAUGCAGGCUCAGGCUUGGGAAACCAACAAAUGAAGCCAAGGAUUGGUCAGUGAUGUCAUUCCUUCUUCUUCGGCUUUAUAUGUCUGGGAACUGAAAUGCUAGGGAGUGGAAGACUAUAUGGUAAACAUUCUAGGAGUUAAGUCCAUUGCUCCCUUCUUAUCGCUUUUCCUCAUCAGGAAUAGCACUUCCCAGUGAAGUAGGUGUCAUUGCGGUACACUGUGUGGAAUUCCCAAAUAAUCAAUAAAACAUUAUGCUG